rnacentral:lncRNA from 1 species
CAGUUAUGGCAGUGGGAGUCGAAGCGAGGGUCUGAAGUUCACGACUACUAGAAGGGGAGGGGAGUGGAAAGGCUCUCAGUGAAAAAGGUAUUAGAAUUAUUUCUGAAUUAUCAGUCUCUCAUUUGUGCUUUGGAGAAGCAGAAAAGGCAAAAGGGGUCUUUGGCCAUCUUCUGCUGGAGCUUCCAGGGAGGAUGUGUCUCCAAGAGACCAGAUGUACCGAGUUUGAAAUCCCAGAAGCCCAAGAGGAAAAGAAUCACAGGGAGGAAAAGACUGUCCAAAGGCUUCUGGAGUCUUCUGUUCUCUAACCUUGGAAGGUUUUGAACAAUAUUUCUCAGAGGAUAGCCUUUCACUUAUUCAUCUGUCCAGCAUGACUCAUCCCCGGGAGUGUUGAUGUCUGUCUUCACCAAGAAGGACGACUUUGAUUGGCUGUAAUUGGCCACUGUUGCUAAUGGAGUAGAGAGAGUCUUGCUACAUGCGGGAACUAGAAUUACAUCACUGCGUUUUUUGGCUUUGUUUCUUCAAUGGGUUGUAGUGUAUGAAUAUUAUUACAAAAUAAAAUGAUUUAAAAAUAUCCA